GCCCUGUGUAGCAAUUCCUAAAAUACUGUUAUUACCAUGGAAACAUGCAAGCUUUUAGUGACGCCGAAAUCGCCACUUAAUGAAAGUCCUAACAGUGGAAAAGUGUUGCACAUUUUCUUUCCAUGUAUUUCGUUCUGGCACUCGGCUGGGAAUUAUGGGAAGGCCAUAUCUUGUUUGUGGUGUUAACUGCACAAGAUGUCUGAAUAAAUCACGGAUACUAAUCCUUCAUUCCCUUUGUUUCUCAGCCAAUGAGUACAUUGUCAUUCGCAGUAAUGAUACAGCAACUGCCAUCCCACUCCUGUCUGAACAAUGUGCUCUGUGUGAUUUACUUUAAUGCGCAGCAAUUUUCCUGCAUGAUGGCCUUGGCAUGGUGAUUCGGAAUGGUUUUCCCGCAAAGGAAGAGCUGAAUUUAUCUCGGGAAUUGAUUCAGACGGUGCACAGGGCACUCUGGUGACAAACUUUAGCGACGAGGAAAUGCUGAACCCAAGAACAUUUCCGUAUGCACUGAAGAGGGGCUCAGAUGUAAAAGGGUCAAGACUCACUCUCUCUUUGAAAGGAAAUGCGAUUCAAAUAACAAACUCUUUGCCCUGCACGCAGUAUAGAAACACGCACGCCCUGGCUUUGGCAUGCUGAAUGCUUAACAAACAUAACUGGAAAGACCGGCCUGACGAUGACGUCAUCAUACCGUGAAGAGCUGGCCUACCUAUGAAACGUGCUACAUUACCGGCCCUGGU